GCCCGGUUAGCUCAAUCGGUAGAGCGUGAGACUCUUAAUCUCAAGGUUGCGGGUAGGUCCAUCGUGAUCAUCGUCUAAACACAACAGAACGAAAAAUUCUAACAAAACCUCAAUAGGUUCGACCCCCGCAUCGGGCU